rnacentral:rRNA from 1 species
GACGAACGCUGGCGGCGUGCUUAACACAUGCAAGUCGAGCGGUAAGGCCCUUUCGGGGGUACGACGAGCGGCGAACGGGUGAGUAACACGUGGGUGACCUGCCCUCAGCUCUGGGAUAAGCCUGGGAAACCGGGUCUAAUACCGGAUAUGACUCCAUGACGCAUGUUGUGGGGUGGAAAGCCUUGCGCGGCUGAGGAUGGGCCCGCGGCCUAUCAGCUUGUUGGUGGGGUGAUGGCCUACCAAGGCGACGACGGGUAGCCGGCCUGAGAGGGCGACCGGCCACACUGGGACUGAGACACGGCCCAGACUCCUACGGGAGGCAGCAGUGGGGAAUCUUGCGCAAUGGGCGAAAGCCUGACGCAGCGACGCCGCGUGAGGGAUGACGGCCU